rnacentral:lncRNA from 1 species
CCUUGUGUUAAAAUUUCAUAGAUUUCUAUUUACGUAUACUAAAGUUAUUGUGCAAAAACCAAGAAAAAUGCUUAUUUGGGACCUGUUUUUGGCACCUAAUGCCUAAACUGUUGGGACUAAUACUCCCAAAAUCAAUCCCAACCUUCCUUUAGGGUCAUAGACCUUAUGUUGAAAUAGAUUUCUGUUUACUUAUACUAAAGUUAUUGUGCGAAAACCAAGAAAAAUGCUUACUUGGACCCUUUUUGGCCCCUAAUUCCUAAACUGUUGGGACCAAAACUCCCAAAAUCAAUCCCAACA